rnacentral:lncRNA from 1 species
GUGCUUGUCACUGUGAAGGAACUCUACAAGGGCAUUAACCAAGCCACUCUAUCUGGGUGCAUCGAUGUGGUCGUGGUGCGGCAGCAGGAUGGCUCCUAUCAGUGCUCACCUUUUCACGUGCGCUUCGGGAAGCUGGGUGUCCUGAGGUCCAAGGAGAAGGUGGUGAGUGCACAGUUGCCAUGGUGAUCUGGCUUUUCCUCCUUACUCUUUUUUUUUUAAAAACUUGGCAUGCUAUUGAAGACUGGGGUAAGAAAUCAACUUUUUAGGUACUGCCUUUGAAGCGGCUUCUAAAUUCAAGACUCUCUUAUAGAAAGUUUCUCCAAAUGAAAAAGAAACUGAAAUUAUGAAGAAAUUCAGAACAAAACUGAAGAUAGUUACAAACAAGGAAGUUGGGCUUAUUUUGAAAAAGAGAUUUUACUUUACUUAAUAUAGCACUUUAAAAUAGCAUAGGGCCAGUGAGAAAGGCUCUCGACAUCAGUCCCGAUGACCCAAGUUUAACCCCUGAGACCCACAUGGUGGAACAAGAGAACAUAUUCAAAAGUCAUCCAGUGGCCUGCACAUGUGCCCUGUGGCUCAUGGGCACUUUUUAAGCUUUAAAACCUCAAUAUAAAAAGGCUCUCUAAAAU